AUCCGACUGACGAGUCCCAAAUAGGACGAAACACGCGUCCGGGAU
rfam:Schistosoma curassoni strain Dakar, Senegal genome assembly, scaffold: SCTD_scaffold0000357